ensembl:lncRNA
GUAUCCAUGCAGAGUUUUAUAAAAGAGGCCCCAGAUCUCUCCUGCCCAGAUUACUUGCACAUUUUUCAACUCGGCAGAUGAUUUUGGCUUGGUGUUCAAAGAAUGUGGAUGGGAAUGGAACCACAAUUUGACAGUCACAAAAUGGAAUUAUUUAUCUAUUUUUCUUUUUUCUUUUCUAAGGUAUGUUCCAUAUAAAAAUCCAGAAAUUCAACCACUUAUUAACCUUGAAUGAGGAUGUAACAUGACUAAGACUGGCAACUUGUCACUGACAAUGACCAUCAUCCAUCAUUAAAUGUGAAUAAUCAAGCCAUUCUACAAACACACGCAGAGCUGUAUCUUGAUUUCAAUGUACACCAGAGAGCAAAGACAGCAGUUUACAAACUCGUUCUGAUUCAGAAUGAGAGCAGCAGUUUAGGGAAUCUGUUAUGGAACUGUAUCUGAAUCCUGUGUGGGUGACUGGUCCUGACAGUGGUGUGUGAAACGCCGGGCUCUUCCUCCGUCAGUGUGUUCAUGAGCUCAUCAGCUGAUCAUUCACAGAAGAGGAAGGCUGGACACACACUCAGUGUGUUCUGUAUAUGACCAUCACCAUGGACACCAGGGCUGCCAAGGCCGGAGCUGCAGCAGCCUGUUCAUAGAAUAAAAAGCACAGAGGCAGUGAAUGACGGAGAGGCAGAGGAGAGUGAUCGUACGUGAAGAUAGCAACGAUCACUCAUAAAUAUGGCCAAGUGGAGCGGAGAGGACAGAAUGGUUUCCCCGAUGGCAGAUUGGGACUGGGACUGUGGUCUGAAUCCUCGAGGAUGCCAGAACUCUUUCAGGUCUUUAAGCCCCUUUUCUCUCUCUGAGUUUGACCUAUGGGAGAAGUCGCUCUUAAAGACUCGGUCCUCAGCAUGGAGUUGUAUGGGUUUGUCUGGAUCAGGUCACCGCUCCAAAAUCAGCACCAGCUCUCUAGGCAGCCAGUGUGGAGUAAAACAGAGUGAAUCAGCCGGUUUGAAAAGGUGGCGGUCUGCCUCUCGCCUAGCACCUGAGGGUGCUCCUCCAGCCUGCUCCUCUCAGGGGGUAGAACUGAGAGUUGCCCUGGAGGAGAGCAGCAUGAGGAGGGCAGAGCUGAUCCGAAGGCUGCGGCUGGCUCAGGGAAGUCUGGACACUCAGACAGAUCUCCUGAAGGCCAAGGAGAGCCAGCUUCAGCACAGCCAGAGCACCACACAGAUGCUGGAGCUCAAGCAUAAGCAGCUGGCAAAGGCAUUGAGUGCUCUUGAGGAGGAGAAGGAUGCAGUUGAGCUAAGCCGCUAUAAGGAGAGCCGUUGUCGGGCAGAGCUGCAGGAAAAGGUGUUGCGGCUGGAAAUGGACCUGUUUAGGAUGAAAUCAAGCUUAGACAUGAAAAACUCUGAUGAAACUUCAGCAUCACAGCCAAACUCACAGCUAAACAGGACCAUGCCUGUAACAAAGGAUGACUUUAUCAAAGAGGGACAGAACCAGACAGAAACAGAGAUGAAGAAACUGAAAAAAGCUCUCAGAGAGGCUGAGGAGAGAACAGAAACCCUGGAGGCUGAAAGGAAUCAUGCAGUAAAACAGCUCUAUUCUUCUAAGGAGGGGCACCGCAAGGCACUGAACCAGAUUGAGGAGCUGAAGCAGAAGCUUGGAAAGUCUCUGCAGGUCCAGAGUGAGCUGCAGGAGCAACUCAGCGAUGCCCGCAGCCGCUUGGGCCAGCUGGAGCUGGAAAAAGACUUGCUCUCCACUAAAACAUUGCGGUUGGAGGACGGUCUAGAGGACCUAAAGGCCAAGCUUUCUGCAGCUUUAGCUGAUAAAGACAGACUGGUGCAGGAAAAGGCUGACCUGCAUCAAAAGACCCAGAGUUUGAAGUUGCAGCUUCAGAGAGCCCAGCUGGGUAGGGAAGGAUUCACCGAGCAGGUGUGUGAGCUCCACUCAGAGCUGACUCAGGCCAAGAGCCAGGCCAGCCGACAACAACAGAAUACAUUACUGAUGAAGGAGGAGCUGCAGUCAAUCAAAGAGGUAAAUGAGAAGCUUACAGCUGAUCUUGCAGCAGCUACAGAGAGACUCCAGGAGACUUUUAAGAAGCUUCAUGAGCUGGAGGCUGAGAGACUGAUCCACACCAAUCAGAUCACAGCUCUAGAGACUGAACGCUUGCAGCUGAUUGGAGAGAAGGAGGAGAUGGUUGAUGUGUUUGAUCAGGGAAAUCAGGAAGAGCUCAGAGAACUGAGGGAGAAGUGCUACCACCUCAGGGAUUUACAGAUAACUUUGGAGCAGGAGAAUCAGGACCUCCGGGCACAAUGUCAGGGUCUGGAGAAGAAAGUGCAGAAUAUGGAGGCGGAGUAUGGGUGUAAAGAGGAGGAGCUACUGCGCUUGGAAAUGGAGCUGGAAGAAGAAAAGGAGGAGCAGAAGAAAGUGGCAGCCCAUUGGAAUGAGCGGUGGCUGGAUAUCUCACUGGCUCUGCAGUCCACUCAGGCCGAACUAGAGGAGACUAAGAAACAUCAUGAGGAGAAAGAUACAGUGAGGGAGGACAUGGCAGCAGAAUUGGCCAGCAUGGUGGAGACACUGGAGACACAGCUAAAGAAUGGACAGGAUCAGAUCCAGAGCUUACUGGAACAGAAAACACAACUUGAGACAGAGAUGUCCCGAGUCAAGAAAGAAGCUGGUGCUUUGGAGCGAGUGGAGCUUGAUGCCUGCAGACAGCAGCUGGAACUAGAACAAAGCAGGAGACAAAGCCUACAGCAGAGACUGCUGGGAAACCCUGUGUCUCUGGAGGAGAUGGAGCUGGUGCAGGUGAAGGCUGAGCUGCAGAAGAUGUGGGACAUGCUAAAGAGCCGGGACACUGAGCUGGAGGAGCAGCAGCAGGAGCUGCAGUCUGCUCGAGGCCAGGUGACCCAGCAGAGCAGUGAGGUGCAAAGGCUGGAGCAACAACUGUCUGAGAGAGAGCAGGAGCUGAAGGAAAGAGAUCUCAUUUUGAAGAGCAUAAUGAGUCAGCAAGACAAAGAGAAAAAAGAAACCCAAAUGAAACUAACUGCUCUAGAGAAAGAGCUUGCUGGACUUAAAGCACUGAAGACUGAGCAGUCACUGAACACUGUUCAAAAAGACCCUCAGACUUCUGAAUCUUUGAAAGCUAAAUUAGAGGUGACAAAGAAUGAAGGGACAGCUGAGAGACCACAUACAACAAAACCUCCUCAACAGGACAAAGAACAGAAAGGAUCUCCAUCAGUUACCAGAAAGGAGAAAUCAGUCAGCAUUAACAACAUAGACCCUGACCACCAGAGAAGGCUAAUCACAGAACAACUGAAGAUUUUAUUUAAAGAGAGAGAACAGCUGGGCGAUAAAGCAUCUACAGCACUCCAGAAAAGACCUACCUCAGUGAUCGACUUGAGUCCAAAGUCUAAAUCUAUGAAGAAUGUGGAAACACUAAGCAGUGAGGGGAAGAAUCAGCAGGAGGAGCACAGACAGGCUGUGAGUGUCCAGCAAGGGGCAGAAGAGAACAACUCAGACAGUCAAGAGAGAGCUCAUUCAGAGCAGAUGACCUCUGAGGAAGGGCCACAGGUUCAGCCACGCUGAAAUUACAGCGGAAGUUCCAGGAUGUAAGACUGAUUAAAACUAGUGAUGAGGCACCAACCAUUGUACCCUGUGUUCCUGGCUUCCUAAAUAAUGAAGAAGAGAAACUUCAAAUGAGACCACCCUUGCUAUGUAUAGAAGGAACAUUCACAGCCAGGCAGGUGGAGGUGUGUGACUCAGGCAUGGAGGAUGAGGAAGAAGGCACCAAAUAGUGUUCACCUGAAUAAAUAUGUUAUUUGAGCUUUAAAGCCUAUGGUU